GGUGCUUUAGCAAAUCGGUUUUGCCCCGGAUUGCAAAUCCGGUUAGCCCAGUUCGACUCUGGGACGCACCUCCA
rnacentral:tRNA from 1 species